UCCCAGUUCGGACUGUAGUCUGCAACCCGACUACACGAAGCUGGAAUCGCUAGUAAUCGCGAAUCAGAAUGUCGCGGUGAAUACGUUCCCGGGUCUUGUACACACCGCCCGUCACACCACGGAAGUUGGGGGCGCCCGAAGCCACUUAGCUAACCCUUUUGGGAAGCGAGUGUCGAAGGUGAAAUCAAUAACUGGGGUGAAGUCGUAACAAGGUAGC
rnacentral:rRNA from 1 species